rnacentral:lncRNA from 1 species
GGUACUUGGGUUACACUAUUUGAUCGCGUGGAAUUAGUUAUGGGCUUCAAAGUAAAACAAUUAUUUUCCAACUUUUUUCCAUGGUUAAUGCAUCCAAAAUCAAGAGAGAAAAAAACCAUAUUAUUUCAUUUCAUUACAAAUAUUUUAGUGUACAAAAUAAAGUUGCAAGAUGCGUGAAAUUAAGAAAUCAAGAGAUAAAAAUAUAAUUAUUAGUUGCUACAUGUAGAGCUCAUUCUUCUCUACAUUUGGCAUUUUUUGCGAACGACAUGACAAAAGCCGUGCAUGCAUUCUAAACAUCCUUGAAUAGCAAGUAAUUCAUAACAAUCAUUAUUAGAUCUACAUCUGGUAAAUGUUUUAAUUGGAUAGCUGGCAAUCUCCUUUGUAGUAAGAAAUAGGAAAAUAAAUAAAAUUGCAGCGGAAAUAAACUUGAGGGUUUUAGCCAUUUUAUUUUCCUCUUCAUUUGUAAAAUGGGAUACAAUUUGAUCAAUUUAUAGUGUA